CUUCUUCCCAACUUUCCUUUUCUUUCUUACGGUUGUGUGUGGGAUACUCUAUCGGACUUACAGAUGCCGCGUCCUCCCGUGGCUGAAACCCUGUACUGUUUACUUUAAUGGUAAAAGCUGCUCAAGAAGGCGUCCAAUUCAAGACGAACCGAUAGUGUUUCCUAGGCGACAUACGUAAAGAACGAGAAGAACAAGGUGCUUACAAUGGAAUUUGACUUAUAACUUUAUUGGGUGGGUAUAGCACUUCUCGUAUUUUCUCUCUUUCCUUCCCAUAGCUUUUGGUGACACCCAAUUUUCCAUUAUACCUUGUAGCGAAAAUCUUCGAUGUAAGAUGUUUUUACGCAUUUUUUUGUUUUUGUUUUUAAUCUCCUUUGUACUCACAUUCUUUACAUACUGCACAAAUAAAAACCCUUUGUAGAAUAUCUCUUCAUAAGUCGACUGGUUUAAGUAGUCAAGUCUAAAGUGACUCAUGUGUCACAAUUUAUUAUUGUAAAUAUGUUAUUUACACAUAUAACUAAGCUUCAAACAGCUUAAUAACGCUCUUCUUACUUUUCUUUUCGCAUUUAUGGAGAGGGUUUGGAUUUUUUGGCUGUGGUAUUUCUUCAUUUUACAUGUAACAAAUACAAUAGAUGAUAACUAAUAUAGCAGGUCAUAAUUAAGAACAUGAUAAUCGACGUAUAACGUAACUAUAUAAGACUGGAUUCAUCCUAUCUGUCCCUCUGAAUGUAUGUAUCGACCAUUUUCUUAAACUCGUUAUACAAUAUAUAUGUAAAGCUGUGUAUAUCUGUAUUUUAUGUCUGUAUGUGUCUCUCUAAUAUUUACUUAAAUGUUAACUUCUUACAGACCGAUUACAUCUUUGAAAGGAAAAAUCUCUAUACUUCUAUAUAAGCCAAACUUAGUAUAUACCUAAAUAGACACUUUUAAUAUCAUAGAUGUUUUCUUAGAUACAAAUACACACUUUU